rnacentral:rRNA from 1 species
GCGCAGCAGGCGAGAAUUUUUCUCAAUGGGGGAAACCCUGAAGGAGCGACGCCGCGUGGAGGAUGAAGGUCUUCGGGUUGUAAACUCCUGUCAUUUGGGAACAAGGCGUACGUAUUUACUGUACGUAUGUUGAUAGUACCAGAAGAGGAAGAGACGGCUAACUCUGUGCCAGCAGCCGCGGUAAUACAGAGGUCUCAAGCGUUGUUCGGAUUCAUUGGGCGUAAAGGGUGCGUAGGUGGCGCGGUAAGUCGGGUGUGAAAUUUCGGAGCUUAACUCCGAAACUGCAUUCGAUACUGCCGUGCUUGAGGACUGGAGAGGAGACUGGAAUUUACGGUGUAGCAGUGAAAUGCGUAGAUAUCGUAAGGAAGACCAGUGGCGAAGGCGGGUCUCUGGACAGUUCCUGACACUGAUGCACGAAGGCCAGGGGAGCAAACGGGAUUAGA